rnacentral:rRNA from 1 species
GAUGAACGCUGGCGGCGUGCCUAAUACAUGCAAGUCGAGCGAACAGACGAGGAGCUUGCUCCUCUGACGUUAGCGGCGGACGGGUGAGUAACACGUGGAUAACCUACCUAUAAGACUGGGAUAACUUCGGGAAACCGGAGCUAAUACCGGAUAAUAUAUUGAACCGCAUGGUUCAAUAGUGAAAGACGGUUUUGCUGUCACUUAUAGAUGGAUCCGCGCCGCAUUAGCUAGUUGGAAAGGUAACGGCUUACCAAGGCAACGAUGCGUAGCCGACCUGAGAGGGUGAUCGGCCACACUGGAACUGAGACACGGUCCAGACUCCUACGGGAGGCAGCAGUAGGGAAUCUUCCGCAAUGGGCGAAAGCCUGACGGAGCAACGCCGCGUGAGUUAUGAAGGUCUUCGGAUCGUAAAACUCUGUUAUUAGGGAAGAACAAAUGUGUAAGUAACUAUGCACGUCUUGACGGUACCUAAUCAGAAAGCCACGGCUAACUACGUG